rnacentral:rRNA from 1 species
AUGGGGUCGGGAUCUUGCUGCUGCAUCGGGUGCGGCAGCAACGACGACGACGGCGGCGACGGGGGCGGCAUGGGGCUGGACCCCAAGGGGUUCCUGCUUGCCAUGAUGAUCGCCCUGGUGCUCGUCAUGCUCUGCCACAUGCCCAAGCCCCGCCGCAACAACUACGUCGUCUACCGCUGCUAG